rnacentral:rRNA from 1 species
GUAGGUGGCAAGCGUUGUCCGGAAUUAUUGGCGUAAAGCGCGCGCAGGCGGUUCUUUAAGUCUGAUGUGAAAGCCCACGGCUCAACCGUGGAGGGUCAUUGGAAACUGGAGAACUUGAGUACAGAAGAGGAAAGCGGAAUUCCACGUGUAGCGGUGAAAUGCGUAGAGAUGUGGAGGAACACCAGUGGCGAAGGCGGCUUUCUGGUCUGUAACUGACGCUGAGGCGCGAAAGCGUGGGGAGCAAACAGGGAUUAGAUACCCUGGUAGUCCACGCCGUAAACGAUGAGUGCUAAGUGUUAGGGGGUUUCCGCCCCCUUAGUGCUGCAGCUAACGCAUUAAGCACUCCGCCUGGGGAGUACGGCCGCAAGGCUG